rnacentral:rRNA from 1 species
AACGUAGGAGGCAAGCGUUAUCCGGAGUAACUGGGCGUAAAGGGCGGGUAGGUGGUUGUGUAAGUUGGUUAUGAAAGCUCCUGGCUAAACUGGGAGAGGUUGACCAAGACUGCAGAACUUGAGUGGAGAAGAGGUAAACGGAAUUCCGCGUGUAGUGGUGAAAUGCGUAGAUAUUGGGAGGAACACCAGUGGCGAAGGCGGCUCACUGGACCGGAACUGACGCUGAGGCGCGAAAGCGUGGGGAGCAAACAGG